CCCUGGAGUGGGGUUGGGGAUCGAAAAAACAGAGGGGUGGGUUGCUGCAUCUGCGGCGGCGGUGCCGGCGGAGCCGUUUGGCAAUGGAUUUCCCAGUUUCUCCUGUCGACAAAUUGCCAAUCUUUCCAGAUGAAGCAUCUAGCGCGGCGGCGCUGCUGGAGAUGAGCGGGCGCGCUGCAGAGCACUCCGGCGACGGAUCUCGUGGGGCCGUCCUAUGCGGGGCAGCGAGGACCUCUACUGGCAAUCCCUGACACUUUUUGGGCGAAGAAUCAAGUGUUGGCGCGAUUGGAGGAGGUAUGCCCUGUUUCAGCGAGAGUGAAGGUGACAACGCCGAUGCAAUCGAGGAUGAGGAGCAGAAAGAUGCUGCAAUGGGAGAAAUUGGUGAAGGCGACAAUGCUGGCUCCAGGAUGGACAAAAAGGCAUUUCAUUUUCAGAACUGUGCGUGCCCCAUGCCUGAAAGUAUCUUGUUAUCUGAAAUGAAAAAGAUUCGACAGUAUUUUUCAGUAAGCAGACAUGAAAAAUCGUUUCCGGUUUGUUGCAUGUAUUGCUGUGUUUAGACGAUUAGGAUGUUUAGUUGGUGAAUUUAGUUUGCGUCAUCCCCGAUGAUACUUUUGUUGUUGUGCUCAUAUGAACAAACUGCAAUGCCUACAGGGUAAGAGUUGGGAAUCAGCCGUUGGAUAGAGUGUCAUGUCCUGAAAGAGUUGGGGCACUAGAGCAAACAAUCAGGGAAUAUGCUGAGAAGCUUGGGGAUCAUGUAGUUGAGCCAACAAUUGGGAUGGCAUUUGAUUCAUUGGGCGAGGCAUAUGAUUUUUAUAACUUGUAUUCCUGGGAAAAUGGCUUUGGCAUAAGAUACGGCAAAAGCAGGCUUAAUGCAGAGAAGACAAAGUGUAUGCAGGAAGUAGUCUGUGGAUGUUCAGGGAAACCACGAGGGAGAACAGCGGGUCCUGCAGGUGUGAGUGCCCCGCGAUGAUAAGAUUAUUGAGAACAUCCGACAAUGGCUGGUACAUAACAGAGCACAGGCCAAAUCAUAAUCAUUCAUUGAUGCAGACAUGCGGCGAGAAAGUGCAUUGGCCGUCGCACAAGCACAUAGACAUGUACACCAAGGAUUUGGUGAAGCAGCUAAGGCAGAACAAUGUCAAUGUCACAAAGGUGUACAUCAUAAUAUCAAGUUUUUUCAGGGAUGCUGAGAAGGUUCCAUUUACUAAAAGAUCACUGCCAAACCUGUGCGGUAAGAUUAACAGAGAGCAAGCUGAGGAUGAUGUGAGGAAGACAAUUGAUGUCUUCGCUGAGAUAGCAGCUAAAGAUCAGGAAUUUGUUUUCAGAGUACAACCAGAUAAAGGCUGUAGAAUUAAGAAUCUGAUGUGGGCUACAGGCAGCAGUAGAAACCAAUACAUGUACUUCGGGGAUGUCGUUACAUUUGACACAGCAUAUAGGACAAAUCUGUAUGACAUGCCGUUUGGGUUGUUUGUUGGUGUGAACAACCACUUUCAGAGCAUCAUACUGGCUGGGGUGCUUCUACGAGACGAGCAGGUUGAGAGCUUCGAGUGGGUCUUCACUGAGUUCGUCAGGAUGAUGGGAGGGAAGGCUCCAGUAACUAUCCUCACAGGUAUGAACAGCUGGAAAAGUUCUCUGUUUUUUGCAUCCGACGGUUGAUUGAAAUGAUCUAAGAUUUUUUGGUUGUUGUGAUUGUUGCUGUUGAGCAUAUCAAUGCAGAGCCAUGGAGGUGGCUUUGAAAAAUGUACUCCCCUCGAUGGCUCACCAAUGGUGCAAAUGGCAUGUGUUGAAGAAGGUGAAGGAAACUCUUGGGCCGAUGUACACGAAGCAGACAGAUUUCCGUGACGAGUUCCACAAGGUUGUUAACCACAUGCUUACAAUUGAUGAGUUUGAGCAAGCCUGGAAGAUGUUGAUAGAGAAGUACAACCUAGAAAGCCACAGCUACCUUUCUCAAGUGUAUGAGGUUAGGCACAAAUGGGCGAAGCCAUUUUUCAAGGAUGUGUUCUGUGCUAAGAUGACAAGCACGCAGCAAAGUGAGAGUGCUAACAGCAUGCUGAAGUCAUAUGUCCCCCCCCCGGUUGCCCCAUGCAUAUGUUUGUGAAACAUUACAUGCGGCUGCAGUUUGCCCGGGAUGCAGACGAGAGCUAUGAAGAAAAGCGGAAUAAAACUAUGAGGUGGCGUGGUCGUGAAAUGCAAUAUGUCGUUGGAGAGGCACGCGGCCAAGGUGUACACGCGGGUGAUGUUCGAGAAGCUAGGAGAUCUGCUGUACUAGGCUCAUGCAUAUAGAAUUGAAGAAGUGGAAAAGGGUAAGAUUUACAAAGCGACGCACACGCAAGCAGAUAGGCGUGAGAGGUGGUCCCGGGUUGUCUUUGAGGUGAAGAUAUUGGAUGAUGGCGCCAUGUUAAAGUGCGAAUGUGGGCUUUUUGAACAUGGGCAUGCCGUGCUGCCACAUGCUGAAGGUUAUAUAUGGAUGUCAUUGGCUACACAUAAAUACCUUCAAGGUUGAUAAUGAAAAGGUGGACUAGGGAUGCGAGGGAUGUUCUCCCAUCACACCUACAGAUAUACCAGCGAGACCAUGCUGGGAGCAGGACGAUGACGCAUCGGCACACAGCUUUGUACGUGCACGCGAUGGAGCUGGUUCGUCUGGGCGACGCAUCAAUAGAGGCAUAUGAGAAAGGCAUGCAGAUAAUUAGGGAUGGGAUUUUUGACAAUCCCUAAGAUAGCAGCGAUCUGCUGGUCUUCGAGAACGGGCGCGCGUGCCUGAUAUUGGCCGGCUUGAAUGGACGGCGCUGGAUCUGCGCUAGCUGCCGCCCGGGGCUAGGAUUGAACUGAACGAGAGCCUGGAUCUGUAAACAGCCACCUCAGAUAGCCCUCCUGCCACUCGUAGAACUUGCACUUGCCGGAUCAGCAAAAAUCAGUGCAUAAAAGACGGGAAUUCAUCCCCAUAGGUCGGCGAACUUACAU